UACGAAGGGGGCUAGCGUUGCUCGGAAUCACUGGGCGUAAAGGGUGCGUAGGCGGGUCUUUAAGUCAGGGGUGAAAUCCUGGAGCUCAACUCCAGAACUGCCUUUGAUACUGAAGAUCUUGAGUUCGGGAGAGGAGAGUGGAAUUCCCAGUGUAGAGGUGAAAUUCGUAGAUAUUGGGAAGAACACCGGUGGCGAAGGCGGCUCUCUGGACCGUAACUGACGCUGAGGCGCGAAAGCGUGGGGAGCGAACAGG
rnacentral:rRNA from 1 species